UACGGAGGGGGCUAGCGUUGUUCGGAAUCAUUGGGCGUAAAGGGCGCGUAGGUGGUUCUGUAUGUCUACCGUGAAAGCGUACGGCUCAACCGUAUUUUGUCGGUGGAAACUGCAGGACUUGAGGCUGGGAGGGGCUGGUGGAAUUCCCUGUGUAGCGGUGAAAUGCGUAGAGAUGGGGGAGAACACUCGUGGCGAAGGCGGCCAGCUAGACCAGUUCUGACACUGAGGCGCGACAGCGUGGGGAGCAAACAGG
rnacentral:rRNA from 1 species